rnacentral:rRNA from 1 species
CUCCGGUUGAUCCCGCCGGACCCGACUGCUAUCAGAGUGGGACUAAGCCAUGCGAGUCAACAUAGCAAUAUGUGGCAUACGGCUCAGUAACACGUAGUCAACAUGCCCAGGGGACGUGGAUAACCUCGGGAAACUGAGGAUAAACCGCGAUAGGUCAUCACUUCUGGAAUGGGUAAUGACUUAAAUCUAUAUGGCCCCUGGAUUGGACUGCGGCCGAUCAGGCUGUUGGUGAGGUAAUGGCCCACCAAACCUGUAACCGGUACGGGCUCUGAGAGGAGGAGCCCGGAGAUGGGCACUGAGACAAGGGCCCAGGCCCUAUGGGGCGCAGCAGGCGCGAAACCUCUGCAAUAGGCGAAAGCUUGACAGGGUUACUCUGAGUGAUUUCCGUUAAGGAGAUCUUUUGGCACCUCUAAAAAUGGUGCAGAAUAAGGGGUGGGCAAGUCUGGUGUCAGCCGCCGCGGUAAUACCAGCACCCCGAGUGGUCGGGACGUUUAUUGGGCCUAAAGCAUCCGUAGCCGGUUCUACAAGUCUUCCGUUAAAUCCACCUGCUUAACAGAUGGGCUGCGGAAGAUACUAUAGAGCUAGGAGGCGGGAGAGGCAAGCGGUACUCGAUGGGUAGGGGUAAAAUCCGUUGAUCCAUUGAAGACCACCAGUGGCGAAGGCGGCUUGCCAGAACGCGCUCGACGGUGAGGGAUGAAAGCUGGGGGAGCAAACCGGAUUAGAUACCCGGGUAGUCCCAGCCGUAAACGAUGCAGACUCGGUGAUGGGUUGGCUUCGCGCUAACCCAGUGCCGCAGGGAAGCCGUUAAGUCUGCCGCCUGGGUAGUACGGUCGCAAGACUGAAACUUAAAGGAAUUGGCGGGGGAGCA